ACCACCCCCUCCACGAAGACCACCACCAGUGGCGAGACCGCCCCCUCCAGGUGCGCCUUAUCAGCCACCAGCACCAUCGCCUAGGCCACCACUGCCCUCAGCACGACCACCACCCUCGUUUCCUCCUCCUCCUCCUCCCGUGGCUAG